rnacentral:rRNA from 1 species
UAGUGGCGAACGGGUGAGUAACACGUGAGUAACCUGCCCUGGACUCUGGGAUAACCCCGAGAAAUCGGAGCUAAUACCGGAUAGGACCUUGCACCGCAUGGUGUGGGGUGGAAAGUUUUUCGGUCUGGGAUGGACUCGCGGCCUAUCAGCUUGUUGGUGAGGUAAUGGCUCACCAAGGCGUCGACGGGUAGCCGGCCUGAGAGGGUGACCGGCCACACUGGGACUGAGACACGGCCCAGACUCCUACGGGAGGCAGCAGUGGGGAAUAUUGCACAAUGGGCGCAAGCCUGAUGCAGCAACGCCGCGUGCGGGAUGACGGCCUUCGGGUUGUAAACCGCUUUUAGUAAGGAAGAAGGGGCCCUUUGGGUCUUGACGGUACUUGCAGAAAAAGGACCGGCUAACUACGUGCCAGCAGCCGCGGUAAUACGUAGGGUCCGAGCGUUGUCCGGAAUUAUUGGGCGUAAAGAGCUCGUAGGCGGUUUGUCGCGUCUGCUGUGAAAUCCCGAGGCUCAACCUCGGGCCUGCAGUGGGUACGGGCAGACUUGAGUGGUGUAGGGGAGACUGGAAUUCCUGGUGUAGCGGUGGAAUGCGCAGAUAUCAGGAGGAACACCGAUGGCGAAGGCAGGUCUCUGGGCACUUACUGACGCUGAGGAGCGAAAGCGUGGGGAGCGAACAGGAUUAGAUACCCUGGUAGUCCACGCCGUAAACGUUGGGCGCUAGAUGUGGGGACCUUUCCACGGUUUCCGUGUCGUAGCUAACGCAUUAAGCGCCCCGCCUGGGGAGUACGGCCGCAAGGCUAAAACUCAAAGGAAUUGACGGGGGCCCGCACAAGCGGCGGAGCAUGCGGAUUAAUUCGAUGCAACGCGAAGAACCUUACCAAGGCUUGACAUAUACGAGAACGCGCCAGAAAUGGUGAACUCUUUGGACACUCGUAUACAGGUGGUGCAUGGUUGUCGUCAGCUCGUGUCGUGAGAUGUUGGGUUAAGUCCCGCAACGAGCGCAACCCUCGUCGCAUGUUGCCAGCACGUUAUGGUGGGAACUCAUGUGAGACUGCCGGGGUCAACUCGGAGGAAGGUGGGGAUGACGUCAAAUCAUCAUGCCCCUUAUGUCUUGGGCUUCACGCAUGCUACAAUGGCCGGUACAAAGGGCUGCGAUGUCGUAAGGCGGAGCGAAUCCCAAAAAGCCGGUCUCAGUUCGGAUUGAGGUCUGCAACUCGACCUCAUGAAGUCGGAGUCGCUAGUAAUCGCAGAUCAGCAACGCUGCGGUGAAUACGUUCCCGGGCCUUGUACACACCGCCCG